CCCUUAGAUGUUCUGGGCCGCACGCGUGCUACACUGAGUGGAUCAGCGGGUCAGGUUGCGCGAAAGUGUUUCCUAAUCUUGAAAUCCGCCCGUGAUGGGGAUUGACGGUUGCAAUUUUCUGUCAUGAACGAGGAAUACCUUGUAAGCGCGGGUCAUCAUCCCGCGCUGAAUACGUCCCUGCCCUUUGUACACACCGCCCGUCGCUCCUACCGAUUGAGUGGUCCGGUGAGGCUUUGGGAUCUGGAUGGAAAGAGCGUUUCGCUGUUUCUGCCCGGAAAACUCAGUCGAACCUUAUCAUUUAGAGGAAGGAGAAGUCGUAACA
rnacentral:rRNA from 1 species